AUGGGGAUGAACAACACAAAGGCUUUAUGCUUUGUACUUCUGAUUGCUUUGUCUACCUUGCAGUACUGGCCUUGUCAUGCAUCCGAGGGCCAUAUAGGUGUUGAAGAAGGUGGGAUUAGACAUAUGUGUAGGUACAUGCUUGGCGUGAUCCCCGCUGGUGCCUUGUUCCUUGAGAUUUUUUUUACAUGUGGGAUUCCUUUCUUCAGCCCUGAAUGGAUGACCCUUUUUGGUGUCUUCAAAAAAUCCUGCCCGACCAGACCCAGCAAACGCGUCCGACCCGUAAAUAUUUUUGAGGGGUGCGGCAAAAUCUCAUCCCCAACCUGCAAAUACGCAGUUUUCCGCCUCGCCCCUAUGGUGCCCCGUAUCCCAGGAAAGCAGUUGGUGGGAGAGAUAUUUCUGCCUGCGACCUUUCCCCACCUCCUUCCGCCGCCGCCCGCCAUUGGUUUCGCCCGUCCGCCGCCGACGAUUCCGGCCAAAUCUGCGGGUGCCCCUACCCUCUUCCAUGAGACGCUGCACCAGCUCCCUCGGAUCCGUCGAUCCGAGCCGCCCCUAGUCGCCGUCGCCGCCCGGGAUCGACCGCCCCCGAGCCACCGGAGAGCCACCGCCCCCGAGCAGCCGAUGGAAUUGAGCCCGUGCGAGAAGUUUUUGCUUGACGAUUCGUCCGAUUCGGAUGACUCGGAUGUUGAGACGUUGGUUGUCAACUAUCGGCAGCAGACGUUGGUGAUGGCCCUUGCCGUGAAGGAGCAUAGAGAUGAGAACCGAAAGAGGCGGCGAGGAUCGACCGUCGGCCUUAGAGACCCUAACCGCAUUAGAGCUUUUCUUCGGACCUACAAGGAGAUUGAAAAUGCAAACACGCAGUUUCAGCUUGAGCAGGAUCUCAUUGAGCACCAUUGGCAAAGGGCUGGGCAGUAA
rnacentral:rRNA from 1 species